CAUUUCCUGCAGCGUUCGAUAUGCUCUGGGUUUUUUCUUGAGCCUAAUUAAUUACCCCGGGAGAUACCGUCCGGCGAUGUGUGCAGGUCCGCCCCUGAGCGGAAAGUCUGAUUCGCCUUUCGUGUCUCCCACCUGAACCAUCGGUUCAAGGGCGAAGGAGCAUAACGGCGCAUGCGGGAAUGCC
rnacentral:other from 1 species